rnacentral:rRNA from 1 species
AUUGAACGCUGGCGGCAGGCUUAACACAUGCAAGUCGAACGGUAACAUAAAGAAGCUUGCUUCUUUGAUGACGAGUGGCGGACGGGUGAGUAAUGCUUGGGAAUCUAGCUUAUGGAGGGGGAUAACUACGGGAAACUGUAGCUAAUACCGCGUAGAAUCGAGAGAUGAAAGUGUGGGACCUUCGGGCCACAUGCCAUAGGAUGAGCCCAAGUGGGAUUAGGUAGUUGGUGAGGUAAAGGCUCACCAAGCCGACGAUCUCUAGCUGGUCUGAGAGGAUGACCAGCCACACUGGGACUGAGACACGGCCCAGACUCCUACGGGAGGCAGCAGUGGGGAAUAUUGCGCAAUGGGGGCAACCCUGACGCAGCCAUGCCGCGUGAAUGAAGAAGGCCUUCGGGUUGUAAAGUUCUUUCGGUAGCGAGGAAGGCAUUUAGUUUAAUAGACUAGAUGAUUGACGUUAACUACAGAAGAAGCACCGGCUAACUCCGUGCCAGCAGCCGCGGUAAUACGGAGGGUGCGAGCGUUAAUCGGAAUAACUGGGCGUAAAGGGCACGCAGGCGGUGACUUAAGUGAGGUGUGAAAGCCCCGGGCUUAACCUGGGAAUUGCAUUUCAUACUGGGUCGCUAGAGUACUUUAGGGAGGGGUAGAAUUCCACGUGUAGCGGUGAAAUGCGUAGAGAUGUGGAGGAAUACCGAAGGCGAAGGCAGCCCCUUGGGAAUGUACUGACGCUCAUGUGCGAAAGCGUGGGGAGCAAACAGG